CCGCCGCCUCGGGCGGGCUCGGAUGGAGGACUCGGACUCGGCGGUGAAGCAGCUGGGCUUGGCCGAGGCGGCGGCGGUAGCGGCGGCGGCGGUGGCCGCAGCAGUGGCCGCGGAAGGAUCCGAGCACCAGCGGGCGGAGGCGACGGGCUUGGAGGCGGAGCCUGAGGAGGAGGAGGCAGCGGCGCAGGUGACGGCGGUGACCGUGAUGGCGGCGGAUGCCGAACACAUCGAGAUGGGAGCCGAGUCCCUGCCGAGCGCGGACGAGGCUGCCGCCGCCUUCGCAGAAGUGACAACAGUAACGGUAGCCAAUGUGGGUGCCUCUGCAGACAAUGUCUUUACUACAUCGGUGGCAAAUGCUGCAUCUAUAUCUGGACAUGUGCUGUCUGGCAGAACAGCUCUUCAAAUUGGGGACAGCUUGAAUACAGAAAAAGCCACUCUGAUAGUGGUUCACACAGAUGGCAGCAUUGUAGAAACCACCGGGCUGAAGGGACCCUCUGCACCUCUCACACCAGGUUCUCAGUCUCCUCCCACUCCCUUAACACCUGGCCAAGAAAAAAAUGGCACAAAGUAUAACUGGGACCCAUCAGUGUAUGACAGUGAACUCCCUGUGCGAUGCCGGAAUAUCAGCGGAAUCCUGUAUAAAAACAGGCUUGGUUCAGGAGGCCGGGGCCGAUGUAUUAAGCAAGGGGAGAACUGGUACAGCCCCACUGAGUUUGAAGCCAUGGCAGGAAGAGCCAGCAGCAAAGAUUGGAAAAGAAGCAUCCGCUAUGCAGGGAGGCCACUGCAGUGCCUUAUUCAUGAUGGGAUUUUAAAUCCUCAUGCUGCCUCAUGCACUUGUGCUGCCUGCUGUGAUGACAUGACCUUGAGUGGCCCGGUACGAUUGUUUGUCCCUUAUAAAAGGCGAAAAAAGGAAAACGAGUUGCCGACAACUCCAGUGAAAAAGGACUCUCCCAAAAACAUCACCCUGCUUCCUGCUACUGCUGCUACCACUUUCACCGUGACUCCUUCAGGACAGAUCACUACUUCUGGUGCUCUGACCUUCGACCGUUCAUCAACUGUGGAGGCCACAGCUAUCAUCUCAGAAAGUCCAUCCCAGGGUGAUGUAUUCGCUGGCGCCACUGUUCAAGAUACUACUGUCCAGCAACCUUGCCGUGUCAGCCAUCCAGAACCUCACUAUCCAAGUUAUCAGGACAAUUGUCAGAUUUCACCUUUUCCAGAAGCUGCACUGCCAACUUCCCAUCCCAAAAUAGUGUUGACGUCCCUUCCUGCCCUGGCUGUGCCACCCACUACCCCCACCAAAGCCAUAUCCCCCUCAGUAGUGAAUGGACUAGAGAUGACCGAGCAACGGAGCUGGCUAUACCUGGAGGAGAUGGUCAACUCCUUACUGAACACAGCCCAGCAACUGAAGACCCUGAUUGAACAGGCUAAACAGGCCAGCUCCUCCUUCCGGGAGGCUGCUGUUACUCAAGCGAAAAUCCAAGCCGACGUGGAGAGGAAAGAGUUUAUGCCCUGUCUUCCCUCAGGGCUCCCAGAUGAAGAAGGCUGGUUGGGGCUCUCAUUAGAAGGUCAUUGAUGCUACACACACUUUAUAUAAAGGCAUCUCUGAUGGCAAUACAGACUGCUACGCUCCCACCAGGGCCGCGUUUACUCACUUCACUAUGCUGCUCCUAUUCUCUGCUGGCACAGGAAGUGAGGGAUCAAAUCCAGCUGUUGCACAGCAGUUCAGAGCGCUAAUUUACAGGGCAACUGCUGUCAGCCUGUGAGAGAGAGUGACUUUUUCUCAGUAACAUACACCCCUAGCUGUACCAUCUCUGGCACUUACAUUCUUAUUUUGUAAUAUGUUGUUGAUACUUGUGCUGCUGAGCGGGACUGUAUUCUUUUGAGAAAUUGUGUAGGUAAUGUGGUCAUUUGUAUUGACCCUUAAUAACAAUUGUAAAACGCUUACUUUUCUGGCUGCACAGAUCCCUUUACCUAACCAGAAAAAAUACUAAUUUACUUUUGGGCCUGCAUUACCAGAAAUGCUGACUGUAUCUCACCUCUGUUCAGAAUCACCACCAGUUUUGUGCAAUCUCUUUGCAGUGCUACGUUUUAAGUAUUUUGAAAUGAAAGAUCUUUUCAUUAGAUAAGAAAUGCAGAGCAAGCCCAAAUAAGGGAUUAAACCAGAACAGAGCUAUGGAGUCAGAUCUUCCUGGAAUAUGGAUUUGGCACAUAGGAUUAAAGAAAAAAUCUACUAAAUUGGAAAUCAGCCUGCUUCCACUAAUAGGUUGUUCAGUAACAAGCUUUGCUGCUACAGCUAUUAAUACAAGCUUCACUCUUUGCACAUCUGCAGAACUGUUGCUCAGUUCAGCGACCUGACUCUUAUAUUGGCAUUUGACACCUUAUAUGUAAUGCUUAGUUUAGCUGAAGUGUACAUUCACUGCAAAACUUAUCCAGCCAAUAAUAAUUGGAAUUGGUGCUUCCAGGUUUAUCUAAAUUAACUUUUUCAGCAAAUGCCUUCUGGAAGAAAUCAGAGACAAGGUGGGAGAGGUAAUAUCUUUUACUGGACCAACUUCUCUUAGUGAAAUAGGCAAGCUUUUGAGCUUAAACAGAGCUCUUCUUGAGGUCUGUGGAAGGCACACAGAGCAUCACAGCUAAAUACAAUGUGGAACGGAUUGUUAAGUGUAAGGAGUUAAUGCAUGUUGCAAGAAAUCAUUCAAGGUGAAGUGUGCGGUUAACACCUCUGCAGGAUGGUUACUGGGUUACGGAUUAUUGUAGUGAGCCAUAAAUCCAGUGUCUUUAUUGAGUUCAUGAUUUUUAGUGUUUAAUGGAACCAACUGCAAUAACUUCUGGAAAAAAUGAAAACCCAGCUAAAACAUAUAAUAAAAGCAUGUGGCAUUAUUGGUAAAUAUAUUUAAGCAAAACAAAUCUGGAUUAUUUUUCAUGUAGUUAUUUCUUGAUUUUUAUUUACUCUAGUGAAUUUCACUAUAGGGAAGAGCUCAGGGUGCAUGGACAGGGAGCAUAACAUUUUUUGAGAGUAAUUAAAAUAAAUGCCAGUUGGGCUUUCCGCUUUCAAUUGUGUUGGUCAAAUACUAUCUGGACCUGACAGUGUUGAAAGCCAGUUGCCUAAUCUGUAAUACAAGAACCUUUUCUAGCUGAUGUAAUCUUUCUGAUACUUAGGAUGAGUGUGGGUUGGGGAUCUUGCUGAUACUGCUCCAUCACAAGUAACUGCUACGCUAAUUGAGUUUUCAGAUCUCCACAGUUCAGUGUUGGACAAGAACCGUUUUUUGUAAAUAUCUACUUUUUGCAUGAACCAGCUAAAUGUAAAGAGAAUCCAUUCUGCAGCAGUACCUGGAAUUGAGCAGAGCGAAUGUGCAUUUGCUACAUUCAGAGAAUCCCCAGGGGUUAAUGUAGACAAAUCAGGAGGGACUUUCAUUGGUUUUCAUUACCAGAAAUGCUGACUGUAGUAGCUAUCUCACCUCUGUUCAGGAUCACCACCAGUUUUGUGCAAUCUCUUUGCAGCGCUACGUUUUAAGUAUUUUGAAAUGAAAGAUCUUUUCAUUAGAUAAGAAAUGCAGAGCAAGCCCAAAUAAGGGAUUAAACCAGAACAGAGCUAUGGAGUCAGAUCUUCCUGGAAUAUGGAUUUGGCACAUAGGAUUAAAGAAAAAAUCUACUAAAUUGGAAAUCAGCCUGCUUCCACUAAUAGGUUGUUCAGUAACAAGCUUUGCUGCUACAGCUGUUAAUACAAGCUUCACUCUUUGCACAUCUGCAGAACUGUUGCUCAGUUCAGCGACCUGACUCUUAUAUUGGCAUUUGACACCUUAUAUGUAAUGCUUAGUUUAGUUGAGGUGUACAUUCACUGGCAGGAGAAGAAAGCAAACUGGAAAGCUUUCCCAUGUAUUACUUUUGAUUUAGUCUUUUUGGAUAGGGAGAAAUAAUGAAGCGGUGUUGAGAGCCGCUAGUCCUGUAUAACACAUAGAUAUCACUAUUAAAGACUGGCUAAUCCUUAAAUAUUGCAAAUGAACCACGCAGUUUCCAAAUGACAGCAAUUUAAUUGGUGUUGCUGAAGUGAAUCAAGCUGUGCCAUCUACAGUAAAGGGAUAUUUGCUUUUCUUGUGUUGAGAUCUGUAGAAUUCAUAACCACGUGAAAGACAGACUUCCACUUCCAGUCGUCGUGGACUGAAAGAGAGAUUUGUGCUGGGGAUAGGUCUUCGUUUGUUACUUGACCAUUGAUUGAAAAAACGUGUGCAGUCAGAUUAUUGACAUAGACCUUCCUUCUGAUAUUCUGUACUAAUGUUACUGUCUGAUGGUUCAUUUGAGUCACUGGAAUGCAUUUUUUACAAUCUUUUUUUAAGGGGUGGAGGUUGCAGAGAGAGAAUUUUUGGGAAAGGGGACUUGCUAAAUGUAGCAAAUAAAAAUAUAUUCAGCAUUGUGUCAUAUAAAUUGAUGAAAGCCAGCAAAACAGGCUUUAGGCUGCAGUUCGUUCUUUAAAUUGGUCUGUUGUGUCUGAGUUGGGCAGGAGUGUUAGAUCACUGGGUAUACUUAGGAACCUGUGGCAAUUGCUAGACACUAGAUAGUUCAAGUCAGUGUGUGGGUUUAAGGCUGGACUGUAGAGCUUUUAGAAAGAAAAUUCAUCCAGAUACAGUAAUGGAAUAUAUAUGUAGACAACACAUGUUCACAUUUUUAAAAGGAAUAUUCGAAAAUCCAUUCCUCUAUCACAUAUCUCCCAAAUCCUGUGUUCAGGUGUUUAUUUGCCUCUGGCCAAUGAUAGCAUCACAGAUCUCUUGCUCAUAGCAGGAAAAUGCUCCAGAUGUUUGUGAAGCCCUCAGCUGUUACAUGGAAAUGUAGAAUCACAAACUCCAAACUUGUAAGCUGAACAUCUCAAAUAUUUUCUUUCAAGAUAUAAUUGUAAUUUUUAAGCCUACAUAUAUAUUCAGGGACUAAUUCUGACUGUCCUUUUUCUUUUUUUUUAGUUGAUUUAAAUUGGCUUAAGGAGCAUGGUUUGGUGGGUAAAGUGCAGGACUGGGAGUCUAUUCCAGGUUCUAUUUUCAGCUCUGCCACAAAUUUCUUAUGUGACCUUGGCAAUAUCAAAACCAAUUAUUUCAACAAACGGAAGAUGUCGAUGGUAAAACAGAAAUCAUCAUCAAGCAGUCCUGUGUAAACUGUGGUCGGGAGGCAAUGAAUGAGUGCACCGGAUGCCAUAAAGUCAAUUACUGCUCAA